UACCAGCACCCCGAGUGGUCGGGACGAUUAUUGGGCCUAAAGCAUCCGUAGCCAGUUCUGCAAGUCCCCCGUUAAAUCCAGCUGCUCAACAGAUGGGCCGCGGAGGAUACUCCAGAGCUAGGAGGCAGGAGAGGCAAGCGGUACUCAGUGGGUAGGGGUAAAAUUCGUAGAUAUUCGCAAGAACACCAGUGGCGAAGGCGGCUCACUGGCCCGAUACUGACGCUGAGGCACGAAAGCGUGGGGAGCAAACAGG
rnacentral:rRNA from 1 species